rnacentral:rRNA from 1 species
UGCGUGACCAACCUGCCCCAUGCUCCAGAAUAGCUCUUGGAAACGGGUGGUAAUGCUGGAUGCUCCAACUUGACGCAUGUCUUGUUGGGAAAGUGUUAGUGGCAUGGGAUGGGGUCGCGUCCUAUCAGCUUGUAGGCGGGGUAAUGGCCCACCUAGGCUUCGACGGGUAGCCGGCCUGAGAGGGCGGACGGCCACAUUGGGACUGAGAUACGGCCCAGACUCCUACGGGAGGCAGCAGUGGGGAAUAUUGCGCAAUGGGGGAAACCCUGACGCAGCGACGCCGCGUGCGGGAUGAAGGCCUUCGGGUUGUAAACCGCUUUUGAUUGGGAGCAAGCUUUCGGGUGAGUGUACCUUUCGAAUAAGCGCCGGCUAACUACGUGCCAGCAGCCGCGGUAAAU